ACACUCACUUUUAUCACAGCAAGCCUGGAGCAAGAGAUAUUUACUGACUGACUUAUGAGAAGAUGAAAUCAACAGCUGUAUCAACGCUAUUUCUUGUGUUCAUUUUGGCCUUUCCACACUGUGUGCUGAGCCAGUCCGGAUGGUUGUGUCCUUACGACUAUCGUUGCGGGAAAAGACAGAUAAAUGACGCGAUAGCCCUCUCUAUCAGCCGCUUGGCCAAUCGACUUCGCCUUCUCAGGAGUAUCUAUUCGCUAUCAGAAGGAAAAGAUUCAUCGAUAAAAACUAACGUUCAUGGAGGAAUCGCAAAUGAAAGACUUCCAGAAAUCAAAGGGAUAUAAUCAAGAAUGGAAGAAAAUGUUACUAGUUAAGCCUUCUGAGAAAUCUGGACUCAUGAAAUAUAAAUCAAAUUAUUUAGAUAUCAAAGAAUGUUAUUCUGAUUAAAAUAACUUGACCUAGUGAUCUAAAUGAGAAGAAAAAGAAAAUAUUUCAUUGAAA